rnacentral:rRNA from 1 species
GACGGAGGGUGCCAGUCUUAUUCGUCGUCGCUCGAUGUAAAAGGGUACGUAGGCGGUUCGAAAGGAUUAAGUUUAUUUCAUGGGAUUACUGUGGGGACUCUUAUAUGACCACGAACUAGAGUUUAUUUGGGGUAGGUCGAUUCUUCUUGGGGAGAAGUGAAAUACGUUGGCACCCAGGGAGGGCGAACAAUGGCGAAGGCAACUUACCAGGAUAAACUGACGCUAAGGUACGAAGGCAUGGGGAUCAAACGGG